rnacentral:rRNA from 1 species
GCCUAACACAUGCAAGUCGAACGAGAAAGUGGAGCAAUCCAUGAGUACAGUGGCGACCGGGUGAGUAACACGUGACUACCUGCCCUUGAGUGGGGAAUAACCCCGGGAAACCGGGGCUAAUACCGCAUAACAUCGUAAGAUCAAAGGAGAAAUCCGCUUUUGGAGGGGGUCGCGGCUGAUUAGCUAGUUGGUAGGGUAAUGGCCUACCAAGGCGAAGAUCGGUAUCCGGCCUGAGAGGGCGCACGGACACACUGGAACUGAAACACGGUCCAGACUCCUACGGGAGGCAGCAGUGGGGAAUUUUGCGCAAUGGGGGAAACCCUGACGCAGCAACGCCGCGUGGAGGAUGAAGCCCUUUGGGGUGUAAACUCCUUUCGACCGGGACGAUACUGACGGUACCGGUGGAAGAAGCACCGGCUAACUCUGUGCCAGCAGCCGCGGUAAUACAGAAGGUGCGAGCGUUGUUCGGAAUUAUUGGGCGUAAAGGGCGCGUAAGCGGUGCGGUAAGUCACCUGUGAAAACUCUGGGCUUAACUCAGAGCCUGCAGGCGAAACUGCCGUGCUGGAGUGUGGGAGAGGUGCGUGGAAUUCCCGGUGUAGCGGUGAAAUGCGUA